AGAGUUUGAUCAUGGCUCAGGACGAACGCUGGCGGCAUGCCUAACACAUGCAAGUCGAACGAAUCAGUAGCAAUACUGGUUAGUGGCGAACGGGUGAGUAACACGUGAAUAAUCUGCCUUGUACAACGGGAUAACACUUAGAAAUUUAUGCUAAUACCGUAUAGGACCACACCGGGACAUCCCGGAGGGGUGAAAGCGCUUUAGCGGUACAAGAUGAGUUCGCGUCCAAUUAGCUAGUUGGUGAGGUAACGGCCCACCAAGGCGACGAUUGGUAGCCGACUUGAGAGAGUGAUCGGCCACACUGGAACUGAGACACGGUCCAGACUCCUACGGGAGGCAGCAGUGGGGAAUAUUGGGCAAUGGAGGAAACUCUUUAACCCCCAGCAAUGCCGCGUGAGUGAAUGAAGGUCUUCGGAUUGUAAAGCUCUUUAAUUGGGGACGAAUAAAUGACGGUACCCAAGGAAUAAGCCCCGGCUAACUAUGUGCCAGCCGCCGC
rnacentral:rRNA from 1 species